CACGAGACAAGGAAAUAGUAGGAGUGAGAGAGAUUGUGCCAUCGCUAUAAUUGGAGAAGGCAAGUUAUUAGCACUAGUUACGUAUGGGUCACGAGUGUUACUAAACAACUCAUUAAAAAAUUUAGCAUCAUAAGUUAUAUGAUCAGUAGCACCAAUGUCAAUUAUCCAAGUAUUGGAGCCAAUACCUGGAAUAGAGUCAGAAACACACAAAUUUGCAGAAGCAGCAGCAACAACACCAACAAUGAAGUUAUCACCCAUGAUUGCAGCGGAAACUCAACAAAUCACAGCAUAGUACACAGCUGAACACAGUAGAGGCACAAAUACGGCAGAUGCACGAAGACGAGAACGACACAAACACAACACAACACACAAACAGGGUUAUACAAGGAAACAAAUAAACUCCUAAUUACACAAGAUUUGUACAAAAGAGAAAGAAAUAAAAUCCUAAUAGAAUAGGAAAUAAAAUUUUGCCAACAUAUCCAACUUGGUCUGGUCAAAACCAAUGAGUGGUCGGUUGAGCCGAACCGAUCUGCUUCUCCCCUUCUCCUUUUGGUUGCUGCUAUCUGUGUGAGCUGAGAGAGAGAUUUUUCAACGAGGGGUGAGACUCUUGGUCUCUUUGAGAGAGAAGAGGGCACGUGUGCCUUGAGCAAACAUGUGGUUGAGGAGAGUCUUUUGUUUUCCGCUUUGUCAGGGAGACGGCGGUCAUUGACGGUGAGGGUGGGCGAUUGCUUCUCCAUUGUUUCUUUGAGGAAGAAGGUACAUGGGUGCCUUGAUCAAUUUCUGGUAUUUGAUUCCUCUCGCAUUCUUUUGGUUGUUUGUUGUUGGAGUUGUGACUAUGGAAAAGAAAGCUUAGUUUCUUCUUUGUUGCUCCAUGGGACAUAUGUGGGAUAAGAUGAAGGUGAUUUUUCAUAAGCACCCUUUGUAUUCUCCAUGAGAGAUGAGCCAAUCAAAGAAACAGUAGGUUUGUGCCCCUUAUUUUGGUCUGAACCGAGAGUGUCAAGAGUGGAAAUUGUGUUUUGAUCGGAGAGCCAAGAGAUAAUGGGCUCAGGGACGGCGCAAGACCAGGGUUGUGUUCUUGGCAGAGAUGAUGAAAGCUAUAAGAGAGUGCUGAGAACGACAUGGAUAUUUGUUGUGAUUCCCACAGAUGGCACCAAAUGUUAACAAGUGAAUUUGUACCUAACGGAUUAAGACAUAAUCACACAAAUAACACAAGUGUUUGAGUGGUUCACCCACUAUACAUCCACUAUAGUUUAUAGCUUUGUAUUUGUAUUUGAAUAUGGAGAUUACAUUGUACAUAAGAGAGAUAUGGGGAGAGAUGCUCGAGAGCUAAGAGAAAUAGAGAGCUUGGGAGAGCUAUCUCUUGGAGAAGUAGAGAGUGGCAGCCGAUCGUCCCCUUGCUUGGAGGUGAUGAGUUCCCUUUUAUAGUCCAAGUUGGAGUAGACAAGGUUGCUUGAUUGUUGGGACUUUUGCAUGGCUCCCCUUGAUUUGGGGUCUUGGGCAUUGAGAAGGCAUAGGAGGUGGCAUGGCUACUCCUUGUUUGGUGGAAUGUGAGGUGUGACAAGCAAGGAUUAUCCUUUGAUUUGUAGGAUUUGCUUAAGAAGGAGAUGAGGUCAACAUGGUGUCAACAAAUAUAAAAUAAAAUAAACCUAACAAGGCAUGAUCAUUCAGAGCCAAAAUUAAAAAUAAAAACAAGGCAUGAGUAAUGCAUUAGAAUACUCAGCUUUUAGAAAAUCCAUCACUCCAGCGACAACUAAACCAAAAUCAUUGACAGACCAAUAUCAAAAUGCAAAAGUUCUAUUUAGAAGGGCAAGUACAAUAUUUUUGAUGCUAUACAAAACAAACCUCAUAUCAAAUUUCACGUGUCGUGCGCAUGGCUCGAUUCAACUUUCAUUGGGACAUUCUAAUACUGCUCUAUGUUAUUGCAUUGUUAAGCACAAUUCAUAUGGAAUGGAUGGCUUAAAUAAACUGUACAUGGACUCAACAACUUUCCUACUGACCAUUUGCUGCAGACAACAACUUAUGCCAAGCAGUCCAAUGAAUGCCAUUGACAAAAACAUCCCAAGCUAUAUAAACUAACUAGACACCUAAAACUCCGGCGAACGACAAUGUAUAUCGUAAGCCAACACUGAAAUCAAAACAAUGUCUGCAGCAUUCUCCACUGCAUUGCUUUGAUUCUGUGUUUCACCAAAACAAAAAGUGCUUUGAUCGCCAUAGAAAAACUAUCUGUGUUGUUGCUGUUCUUUGCCUUCGAUCUCCUUCACACUCUCUACUAUGUGUUGGAUCUUCUUUGAAAGACUCUCAUUGUGCUCUUCAAUGUGCUCAAAUAUUAGGUCGAGAUGUCUUUUAUAGGUAGCAGCACGCUUUUUCUCUAUGGCCAGCUGCUGAGAUAGUUCCCGAAUCUUGUCAUGUUCAUUCUGAAUAAGAAGGCAAAAGGUAAAUUAAAAUACAUAACAAGCUAUUAUUAGAAAAAAGAUAUAAUAUUUUGAUACUUAAAACUUCAAAUCGAUCGCUGUUUUGAGCACAAAUCACAAUGUCAUUGUAUAUUCUUUCAAACAGAAUAUCUAGCAUUCAUGAAUUCAAACCCGUUUCAGAAUUUUCACAAAAAUAACACCUACAUUUUCUGUCCAUGAUUUUGAGCAUGAAUCCAUAAAAAAUUCUCUGUGCAGGACGUCCAUUUUUGUUAAAGUGGACGCACAACGAUAUUGUUAAAAUGUAUCAAUAACAUGUUGGUAUGUUUUGUUGGUAACAAUGAUAUGGACACAAUAAAGAACUGGAGGUCCGUUCCAUAGGUGGACAAUCAAUCCAUUUUAAUGUAUGGAUUAGUGACUGAAGUAUGGUGGAAAAAGAACGUAACUCUUACAUGUAAUGUAUUGGUUUGUAAACUCAACUUACUGCAUAAACUUAUAAAUACUACGCAGAAUUAAUUAAAUCAUUCACAAACCAAGAUCGUCCAUACGAAGAUACACAGAAGCACAUUCAACCAGGAAAUCUUUCCACUUCAACUACAAUACCCUAAUAGACAAAAAUCUUGUUUCAACGAUCUUGUCACAAUACUUAAUAAUUAGAACUGCAUUGUGUUUACCAAAAUACAGAUAUGCAGCCAGCUGUACUGUAUGUUAUAAGGCACUGGGUAAUGAAGUAAUAAUUACGAUUAGAUUCUACAAAUAUGGGGUUAUAUGGGAUAAGAUGUAUGUAUCAUCAAUACAUAUGAAAAGAUCAAAUGUAAGGAACAGAUUGUCAUAUGCUACCCAUAAUUUGUAACAGACAUAUAUGCAAUUUUGCCUAGCAUUAAUGCCCAAAAGAGAAGAACAAUAACUAACCGGAUAUUGAUCAUAAAUGCAAUCCCUUCGACCUUUCCCAGGUGUCAAAGGAUGAGUGUGCUCCUUUACAAAUUUUGUAACGACCCAUUUACCAGAACUUACUUUCCUCACCAAAAUCAUUGCCCUGCAACCGACCCUGGUCUCCGCUCUCUGCCUUACAAUUUUUUCGCGCUUGUCAGGCAUUCUAUAACCCUCUUUGUUACAUACAAGUGCACGACCAAUGGCAGAUCCAUCACGCCGUGAUCGAGAGAGUUUGCUUACACGAAUUAUGAAUCCCACACGAGUGGCAUAUGCAUUAUAAAAUGCAUGCGCAGCUGCUUCGGUUUCAAACUCUUGACCCACAUAUGGCUCAUCUGCUGGAACCACUGAUACAACUGGAACUGCUUGUGGAAUUAUAUCCUUUCCAGGAUAAUCUUGAUUCAUUUUAUCAUCCUGACCCAGUUGGAAUGCUCCUUCAAUAGAACUUCCACCCGUCUCAUUUUCAUCACCUGCUCUACUAAUUUCUAGCUCAGCAGAACUUCCUACCACCUCGCCACUAACAUCACCAUCAACCGAAAAUUCCACUGCAGUAACAAGAAAAUUUUCAAUAAUUUACCCCACAAACAUGUGAUGUUCAGCAGACGCAGAUUUGCAAACGUCUUAUUAUUUGCCAGAUAUAAUGCGGAAAGAAAAUCUACACACAUAUCAGAAUGUUCUGUUUAGAUAACAACACGAACUUCAGAAAAGGACACGAUAAUUGUAUAAGACUUGGGUUAAACCCAAAUUCUUUGGUUCAUAGCCGAAGAACCAAAAAGAGAAAAAAGAAAUUCCCAGUCUUGUUUUCUAUGUCAAUUAGGCUACCUAGAAUCAAAUAAUCAAAAAACCAACCUAACUAAUUGGAAACUGAAUAAGCUUUGUAUAAAUGGAAAGAAGUUAAGAUAAAGGGUCAAAGAGAUUGAUAAGCGACAUUUGACGAUUCAAUUUCUUCUUCUCUCUUCCCACAUUCCCUCAGCAAUCAAACAGAGCCCGAGUUCUAAUUUUCCUUAAUAACCAUAUCCAAUUUCAUAAAGAAAAAGCCAAUUGCUAAUUAAAUUCUAGAGCUGUGCCUUCCAUUGGUAAGAGAGUCAAAAGGCAAAACAAUCCAAAGUCAAAAGCUUUUUUCACCACCAUUCAUAUUCCCACAUUUCUCAGCAACCAAACGGAAAACUAAUCAAGAAAAACAAUCAGACAUAUAUGAAUCCAUGCAAAUUAUCACAUAAAACGCAAGAAUUGACCAGAAAAAAACCCUAAAAUAGUCACAUAAAAAAAAGAAAAGAAAAAUUCCCCAAAUUUAAAAUCAAACUAAUUUUCCAACGAUAAGAGACUUACUGAAAAUUCGUGACGACCCUUUUGUUAGAUGAUCAUGGAGGACAUGGAAACGCUUUGUUUUUGGGGUCUCGACGCCACAGACAGACACAGAGAGAGAGAGAGAGAGAGAGAGAGAGAGAGAGGCAAGGGUUCAGGUUGUAAAAAUGAGGACUCAAGUUCAUUUGACGUGUCAAAAGAACAUUGGAUACGGAAAGAUAAAAAAGUCAACAUUUGGCGUUAAGAUGCUGAUGUUUGGACACGUGGUUUAUUGGGUGGACCUGGGCUUGUGGAAUCGCAGCUCGUAUUAUAAACCGCCGGUCCAUAGCGGUUUGAAUCCGGUCUAGUUCUCGACCGUGCAGUCUUAUUUCUUUGCUCUCUCUCUGUCCCUGAAAAUUUGUCAGUAAAAUGGCAAGAGCUGUGUUUGGUAUUGCUGUUCGUAGAGCUUCUUCGAUUCUCAAAUCGUCACCUUCCAAACCUCUCUUCCUAAGGUACUCUCUCUCUCUCUCUCUCUCUCUCUCUCUGCAUCAUAUGUUUGCCAUAUAUUGUUUGUUUGGUUGUUUUCUGCUAUCUAAGAAUCAAUUUUCUCUGUAUCCAAACUCUUUGCUCCACACAACCCAUCGAACCCCUGAAUUGGUUUAUAAGAAAAUAACUUUUUGGUUUAUAAGAAAAUAACUUUUCGUCCUACUAAACUCUUUAAAACUGAAACCUAUAUGGAUUCUCAAGAAUGCAAGUCCUAUCCAGCCAAAUACUUAACUCACUGAGCCCCCGUUGAUGGAUUCUUUAGAUAAUGAUUUUUUUACUGUGGAAAAUCUGUAUGGAAUGGGGUUAUAGGAAAUGGAGUAGUGAGAAUGAGGAAAAAAUUGGCUAUUUUGAUUACUAGGUCACUCACUUACACAUUAGCAUUGCGUUUUCACGACGUUCUUGCCACAUUUUCUGUCUCUUCCAGGUCAGGUUUUCCAACCCAAGAACCAAUUUUCUUUCCAGCCGAACACUUGCCUCUGCCAAACCCACCAAACUCAUCAUGGGUUUUCAGAAACUUGAGCCAUGGAACGGUGAAUUUGGUUAUAUCACAAGGGAAACCCAAGUUUGAGAUGCACGAGAUCGAUCCUCCGAAAAAGGAGAAGUGGAAGACCAAGAAGAGGUUUAAGCUACAGAGAAUGAGAGAGAAGCAGGAGAGAAAAGCGGCCAAUAGGAAGGACCCACGUCGGCUCGGCAUCAAGAGGAAGAAAAGGCAGAAGUUUGCCACUGCUGACGAGAGGAUCAAGUACAAGCUUGAAAAGGUGAGCUGAAUCAACUCAUCUUUCCUAUGGAUGUAACCACGUCAUUGGCUUUAUGAUCAUGAUCCAAAGAGGAAGAGCUAUUGUAUGGAUAGAAAGCUUUAAUGAUCUGAAGUGUUGGUCCACUUCCUAGAACCUAGCAAGCAUAAAUUUCAUGUUUUCCCCAUGGAAAGUUUGAAAAAGAGGCUAAGAAGUUGUCGCAGGUAAAUAGUGUUCAGAUUCCUAUCGAGUCUAGCGUUGACCAUCCUUAAUCAUUGGCUAGAUGAGGUUCAUGCUGUGACACUUUCAAGAGUUUCUGGAUGAGUUGCCACCCAUGAGACAUAUUGACCGUGCUAUUGAUCUAGUCCCUUGAUCUUAGUUUCCUAAUUUUCCAUAUUAUAGGAUAAAGAUGAAUCCUAAGGAGCAUUGCAAGUUGAAUAAGCUAGUAGAAGGUCUUUUUUAGAUAGGGUUCCUAUUGGUCAUAGUUUUAGUACUUGUGCUGUUUCUGCUUUGAAAGUUUUGGUGGAUGUGGGUAAAAUUCGUGUCAAUAAAAUAGAGGACAGUCAACUAUAGGUUUCCCAUUCACCACUCGGCCAUUCAUAGGCUUGAGAACAUCAGAAAUAGUGGUAGGUUCUAGUUCGUUCUCCAAGGUGGAUUUUAGUAGUGUAUAUCAGCAAAUCAGGAUUCGACUUGGAAAUGAGUUGGAACGUUGCCUUUGGUUUGUAUAGUGUAUUUUUACGAGGCUUAUAAAAUGUCUUACGUCCGUGUAUAGCUAGAUAAGUUUGUGGAAUGUUUUAUCAUAUUCAGAUUUAUAAAAUUCUAAAGAACUCUUAGUGUUAGGUAACAUUUUUAAUAAUUCCGUUACACCGAAAAGAAAAAUGUUUAAGAACACUUCAGAUUUUCUUGAUUCGGAGAGUUAAGGAAACUGGUAUCAACCUUACGAAAUGCUCUUUCUGCAGACCCAGUGCUUUCCUUAGUGCACAAUGACUUGCAACAAACUCUAAAAUAAGGUCAAUACUAUUAGGGAUUGGCCUUAAUAAGGCUAGUCUUUAGGUUUGUAGUGUCCAUGAUCCACUUUCUGAAACUUUCUUAAAAAAAUAUGAAAAUCUUAGUGUAUGAAAUUGAAGUUUAUGGAGUGCUUAUGCAUAUAAGACUAAUUUGGGACUGAACUGGAAAAAAGAAAAGAAAAGAGAAAUAAGAAUACCAUGUUCAGAACCAAGCUAACUUUCUAGUAUAUUUUUGGGAAGGAAAAACAUUUGUUAACAAACUUUUAUUAGUGGUCGGGAUUUCAGUUUGAUUGUUUAGUAUUAAAAAGGUGAUAACUCCCAAGGGACAACCAUGGCAAAAGUUUGACUCUCACCCUUCCUCACCCUCCCCUGAAUUUGUUUUUUAUUUUAUUUAAAGAAGUUUAUUUUAAAACAAAUUGUGUCAGGGAAGAUGCUAGUGUUUAUGAAUCCUCACAUUAUAGCUGCUCUGUUCUUCAAAGAUAGAUAUUUUGUGCUUUUUUUAUUAGGAAGCUAUCUCCUUGCCUUCGUUGGAGGACUUGAACAAUUAUGUUUAGAUAAUGUAAUUGUACCUUUUCUAACGAUGACCUGUGAUCAACUUCUUUUUAUUUUAUUGUUAUUUUUUGCUUUGUUCUAUUAUCAUGUUGGAUUUCUUUCCCCUUUUUUUCCCUCCUGAUUUCACAAGACCUCAUACAUUUUCCUCCUUUUUGCGUGCACUAGAAUAGAAGACUUUUUCAUUAAGUUCCGUUUCACUGUCAUUGGUUUCUUAUGGUUGGUAGGGUUGAAGUCAUUUAAACACUUCUAAACCAAAUAUCAAUACUUUCAAACACAAAUACUGUCCCUCCUAUCCUACUUGUUUUGUCAUUCCUUUUAAAAAUCUCUUUUGAUAGCACUACACUUCUGAAGAUUAUAAUUUAUUGGCUUUUUAUCACAAAUGGUCCCUGAGGUUUGCGAAAUUAUCACCUUAAGGUUACCCUCCACGCAUCAAAAUGGUCCCUGCCGUUAACUUCCGUCAAAUAUUCUGUUAAAUUGUGGAUGUGGCACAUGUGGGGAGCCCACACAUCCAAUGGUUUAAAACCAAAAAAAACAAACAAAAAGACCUACACCAUUCCCUGUGCCAACCCCCUUGGAGACCCACUCCUCUCUCCCUCCUGUUCCUCCCUUCUCUCUCUCUCUCUCUCUCUCUCUCUCUCUCUCUCUCUCCCUCUCCCAGCACCUCACAACCCCAUUCCUUGCACUACAACUAGUCAUUUUUCGUCCUUAAAAAUUGAAUUUUUCUUUCAAAACCCCAAUCUUAUGGAUCCUCCAAACCUAGAUAAUUGUCUCCUUAAUUACUUGUUGCUGUUAACAAACUGUCACAGCCACCUGGGUCUUCUCCAAAUGCCCUGAUAAAAAAACUCUUGCAACUUUCAGAUGGUCAAGACUUGGGUUGGUAUUGUUCUACUUGUAGAAAACAUAUACCUUUUUCUUAUUCUUCUUCUUCUUCUUCCUCUAAAGUUGAAAGUUUCAAACCCUUUGGAAGUGUGUCGGUUUAUAGGCACAGCAGGGACUUCAAAGAAAGAGGAGGAAUUUAAGGCCAGUAUGAGAGAGAGAGAGAGAGAGAGAGAGAGAGAGAGAGAGAGAGAGAGAGAACUCAGGGAGAGGGAAGAGAGAAAGAGAAGGGAGGAAGAGGAGGGAGAGAGAGGCGAAGAGUGGGUCUGCCAGGGGGAGGGAGGAAGGCGCUGGCAGAGGGAGAACGCAGAAGGGAUGGUACAGGUCUUUUUUGUGUUUUUUUUAGUUUUAAUAUUUUUUACUUAUAAAAGACUUAAGUUUCUUUUAAUAUUUUUUUUUUAUGGACUUUAAGUUUUAAAAAUAUUUAAAAUAGAUUAUAUUUAAAGCCACGUGGCUCUAUACCAUUGGAUGUGUGGGCUCCCCACAUGUGCCACGUCAGCAAUUUAACAGAAUAUUUGACGGAAGCUAACAGCAGGGACGAUUUUGAUGUGUGGAGGGUAACCUUAAG
rnacentral:lncRNA from 1 species